CGCUUCCCCCAACGCAACAUCUAGGUUCUUAGGAAACUUCAUUUGUUGUGAAAAUCGGAAAUGAAAAGACAGUUGGUGACAAACUCCUUUCUCCAUCACCUCCUUAUUGGACAGAAACGACCCAGGAAUGCGCCUCGCAAGCCAAAGAAGAAGAAGAGGAAGAGGAAGAAGAAGAAGAAGAAGAAGAAGAAGAAGAAGAAGAAGAAGAAGAAGAAGAAGAAGAAGAAGAAAAGAAGAAGAAGAAGAAGAGGAAGAAGAAGAAGAAUGCAGCAGUAGGUUGUUUACAGAUUGGUCACGAGUCUUGGCAAGAAAGUCUGAAGACGGGACCAGCUGCACAUGUUUUACCCUAAGAGCUUGCUAUAUAAAGGAUACUUUCUGGAAGGCUGGUUGGUGUGAGGAUUCAGUCUUGCAGCCACUCGAGACAUCACUUCUGUUCGAGAAACCAGGAGCUCUAAGAGAAUGUAUAAUGAGAACUUCUAUGUGUGGAGAGUUAAACAAGAAGCUGUCUCAUCCCAGGGAAGAUGAAGAGAAAAUGGCGGAUCUGGGCUUGAAGUGCACACAGUGUUGGAAAAGGCCCCACCUAAGGCUCUAGGACCAGCAGUCCCUGAGAAGUAGCUGUGUGUAGGAUUAAGACAAGCUGACUGCGGAGAGCUGUGACAUUGGGCAUUCAAGCAUGAAGCAUUGUUGGCCCAGAGAGGGUGCACAAGCAUUCUCCCUCAGAGAACCAUGGUGUUCCAGAGCCAGAGAGAGAUGGAGAGCUUCCACAAUCCUUGUGAAGAUCUGUUAUCCUAACACCAAUAUAUCCCCUUUAAGAAAAUGGUGGCCCCCUGUAAAUUGUCAAUAUAGCAAAUUGGCUCCCAUAAUAUAUUGAAACACUAUUACCACCUUGGGGAUUCUUUUUCAAAUUACAAGCUUGAUUUAAUAUAAAACGUAAUGAUUAAUACAUUAGAUUAAAAGAAGAAAGGAAUCUUGUAAUUAUCUCAAAAGGCAUUGACAAAAUUCAUCAGCCAUUCACACGAUAAAAGUUAGAAAACCAUGAAGAGAGGAAAUGUUCUUAACAUUUUAAAGAACAGAUAUAAAAAACCAAAAGCCAGCAUUAGAUUUAACAGUCUAGGAAGUUCUAUUAAUGGGAGAAUCCAAUGUCCUCUUCACUACUGUUGUUCAGUGUUGCUCUGGAAGUCCUAACCAGGACAAUAGGGUGAAAAGAAGAAAUAAGGGAGAAGUAAAGGAAGUAAGUAAUAGAGUCAAAAUGAUCAUUAUUUGCAGAUAUUAUGAUUUUCCUUUCAUAAUAUCCAAGAGAAUCAAUUGAAAAAUGAUUAUGACCAGUAGGAGAAUCCAGUAGGAGGGAGCAGAGUAGAAUAAAUUAAUAUAUGUAUAUAGAUUUUAAUAGCUUUUAAGAGUGCUAAGUCACAACUGAUUGGAAAAUGUGAUGAAAACAAUUUACCAUUCACGAUAAUGGUGAAACAUUAAAAAUAUCUAGAAAUGAAUUUUGAGUACAUCAAAAGCCUAUAAACUUUUUUCUUUUUUAUUUCCUUUUUCUUAUCCUAGUGGUGGUGAGAACAAAGGGCCUAUGAACUUUGAUCUAGGAUAGAUUUAAAAGAAGACAAAAGGUAUGCAGGCAUAUGUCAUGUUUCUAGAAAAAUCAAUAUUUUUAAUUUAUUAGUAAAUUCAAUGCAAUUCCAAACAAAAUUUGUUUGGGUGGGAGGAAUUGACAAGAUGAUUCUAAGGAUCAACUGAAAAGUAAGUAUGAAAAAAACCCACAAAUAUUGGAUUAAGAGACUAAUAAAGUAAGAUUUGCCCUAUAAGUAUCAAAGUAUGCAAUAGAGCUAAAAUAAUUAAGAAUGUGAUAGCAGCAUAGGAAAAGACGAAUAUGUUAGUGGAACAAAAGAGAGUCCAUAGCAUGAGAUAAAGAAAACAUUUUAAUUCAGGGAAUAAAAGGUAGUUUACUCAAUAACUCAUGUUGGGGCCAUUUACUAUUAUGCAUAAAAAAUAAGGCUAUAAUUCUAUAUGCUAUAUAAUUUCCCACAUUAUAAAGUAAAUCCCAAAUGGAUUCAUGAUCUAUAUAUUUUAAUUUUCCCAAUGUGAAUGCUUUUAUAAACUACUCAUAUGCUUUACCAGAAAUGACUGGUAAAAAAAUAUAUAGAUUAAUAUUUUUAUAAUCAUGGUGCUACGGUUUGAAUGUGUCCCCCAGAGUUCAUGUGUUGGAAACUUAAUCUACAAUGCAACAGUGUUGAGAGGUGGGCUCUUACGAGGUGAUAAGGUCAUGAGGGCUCUGCCCCCAAUGGAUUAAUGCCAACAGAGGUGGGUUUGUUAUUGUGGGAAUGUGUCCUUGUGAAGGAGGAGCUCGGUCCCCCUUUGUCUCUCUCACCCUCUAGCCUUCUGCCAUGGAAUAAUGCAGCAAGAAGGCCCUUGAAAGAUGCUGGCACCUUGAUAUUGGACUUCUCAGCUUCCAGAAUUUUGAGAAAUAAAUUUCUUUUCUUUAUAAA
rnacentral:lncRNA from 1 species